GAGAGAAAGAGAGAGAGAGAGAGAGAGAGAGACUGUACAGGAUUCAACCUUGAAGAGUCUUCUUUGUGGAAAAUAUGUUACCAUAAGAAAAAAGGGAUUGCAUGGUUACUUAAGGAAAGUCAUAAUUGUCCCCCUGAUUUAAUAUUUAUUUUGCUUAUGCUAUCCCUUAUUGCUUCCCUGAUGUUCUUUUAAAACAGUUAGGCAGUUUCAACUAACUGGAAAAGUCAAUACCAUGUGUUUCUAAGACUUUGUAAAAUACUCUGAGGAAAAAAAAGAAAAAGAUAUUGAUGUUUUAUUCCUCUAAAUAUUGAUCAAGAGAUGAUAAAAAAAAUGGAGUUUCUAUUUCUCGCAACUCUCAGAUCCCAUCCAGAGAGACUGCUCUCCAACCUUCUGCUUAGAAAUGCACGAUCCUGCAAAAUGGAGCAGAGGUCUUCACAGGUUUUUUCUACGAUGUAUUUCCCUCUUACAUAAACUCACUGUCUUCUAAAAAUAAAGUAUUUAAAUGAUCAGCUGUGGUAAUGACAGUGACAAAGCCUCAAUGCUAUUUACAAUAGCUUGUAAAGCAGCCAUCCCAAGAGCUGCAUGCACCCUGCCUAACUGAUAAGACUGGCAAAAGCAAGAAUUACUAAGAACAGUGUAUCCUGCAUUUGACGGGACACACUUCCCACCUAUACAUCAUAAAGUAUAUUAAAACCCUUUUCAUUGUUUUCAGACAUGACACAGUAACUGUGAAUACAUUCUAUUAAAACACACAAUAUUAGCUAAGUGUAGAAAGUAUAGUGUGGCACAUGUGGGUUUCUCCGAACUGGCUGGCUGUGCCACAUCUUGAAUGGCUAUUGCAGUGACAUAUUUAGGGAACCUCUGUUGCACAUUUUUAUCCAGCCUCAAAUCUCAAGAAAAUGCACAACCACUGGCAUUCUGAGGAGAAUAAACAUUUCUUUUGUAAGCCAAAUAUAUGUUUUAUGGUUUACCCUUACCAUCUUUUCUCUCUCCCUCCCCCCCCCCUUUUUUUUAAUAGUGUGAAACCACAAAAUGUUUUUAAUAUUUAUUUUUUGAGAAUUACAGUAAAAACAGACUCAAGAUUAUCAGGAUGUAGCUGACAAGAUAUUUAAACAGCAACUUUCCCACAAAGUUUUAUGUCACACCUAGUAAUUCUGAAUUCUUCUUCUAAUAACUGAGGUACCUGUUGUGUACAGGCUGUGGAGGAUAUGUAUUCAUACAUUCUGGGUGGUUAAAAAGUAAAAGCAAGCAGAACUUCUGGAUAACUUCUGGAUAACAGACUUAGCAACAGAUAGCCGUAGUGUCCAGCUAAAACUCUUAUCAUUUUUGUUUAAAAAUAAUGACAUGACAUUCGUGAUAGUAUUUAUUUUAACAGACAUGCACAGAUGAGAAUGUUAACCCUGCACAGAGAGAAGAGAUUACAUGGGAUAGUGCAUUCAACAACUUUUGAUGCCGAUGUAAUAUAGAAGACAGACCUAUUUUUUAAGGAAGGAUUAGACUCAAGUAUAUAAAUAACUUAGCUGGCAGUGUUUUACUUGCAUCUAAUAGGAUUUCUGAAUGACUCUUCACCCUUUCUCUCGGACACUAUUUUCAGCAAGAUUGCAAGUCAUCUAAUUUUAGGUUACUACAGUACUAAAAAAUAAGGACUCAGAAAAGCAAUUAAGUGAAGUCUAACUUGCAAGCUUCACUUAAGAGAAAUGGAAUUCCAAAAAAGAAAGUGGAGGAAUUAUUUCAACAUUAAUUAUCCAUGAAUAAAUUGAAAUUACAUAAAUGGUAAUAUGGUGAGAGUUUUGCACUGAAGUUUGUUUAUACUAUUACAUAAUUUUAUAACCCUUUUCUUUCCUCUUAUCACAAGUUCUGUCUAUUGGAAACUCAUUAAUAGAUACUUCUGCUAAUACACUAUUUCGUCUUCUUGUAUUUUAACAAGAAAAAUAGUCUACGUUUUAUGCAAUACAAGCAACAAACUAUCUCUGAAGAGAUUUGUGAUUUUUUCUUUCUAAAUAAUAUAUAUCAUUUCCAAGAUUGGAUGUUUUCCAAUCUAACAACCUCCAGAAAUGUUUAAUAAAAAAUUAGCAGGUAUGUAUUUUUUUAGAAAAAUAAUCCUAUCAAACAUGUUAGACUUUUAGGAUAAAGUUAUCCAUAGGAGUGCAAACUCACAUUUUUGAAUUUUUACUUGUCAUAUCAUUAAAAUAAUUCCAGUAUAUGUUAUAAGCAUUAUCACUAAGAAUAGCUAUACUUAACAUUUGGAGAGCAUUUCUUUUUAAAGACACUUUCCACAGAUGAAAUAAAUAAAUAAAAUAAAAGCAGUCUUGCCUAUUGUUCUCUAAAGGGAUCGAAGGUGCUCUGCGGGAUUAUGCCUGUACUUCAUAGAAAGGAAGUAAUUACAUAUUGUAUAGGUUGGGAAAGUUCUACUCUACUGUUGAAUUAACUCACAUUAAUUCCAGUGGAUCAGUGCUGGAAAUUUAAGGGGGAAAACAUUCAAAUACCAAAUAAAGACAAUUUUGAAGUAAGCAAUUCCAAACUGUAAAGGCAUUGCUGAAGAAGGAUGUAUUUCCAACAUCCUUCCCUACAAAAACAUAAUGAAGCAUUUUGCAAAAACAUUUCUUUCAGUACACUGUAUUUUAACAGUAAUGUUUUACAGCAAACUUGGCAUUAAACUGGUAUCAACACAAAUGAAAAUCUGGCAGUAGGACAAUUUUUUUUAUUUUUAUUUAUUUUUAUUUUUUCAAGGAAAGGAGGCAUUAAACAGCGCAUGGCAUUAGCAGUUUUUUAAAGAGUGUUACCAACACAAUUUUGUUUAUCUUGCAACUAUUUAUUUAUUUUUUACUAUACAAAGCUGUAUGCCUGAAACUGAUGGUAUUAAUAUUUUGCUUAUAUACCAUGCUUACUGAUGAAAAUUUACAUCACAAGCAACAAAUCAAAGCCCAAGAUAAGAUUUUAUUUGCUGGCUUCUACUUAUUUAUCAUAAAUAUGCUACAAAGUUCCCGGGGGCUAAUGUAACUGCAGCAUGUAUUUGUGAAGGAGGUGCAGGCUGGAAACUAAGCAGCGGUACACUCACAUCUAGUUUUAUCGUCAGAUAAGAAGAAAGCUCCUCAGCUGUAAAGCAUCACUAUUUUGUUUUAUUACGAUGUAACUAAGCUUUAAAAAUACAUCCAGUUUCCCCUGGUCAUACCAAUUCAUGCUCUGACAGACUGCAGCCUAUUCUUCACGCCGAGCACUGACGGUGCAGCUCCACGCUGCAGAUCGCUGUCUCCUGCUCUUUUUUGGGAGCCCACAGCACUCCUGGCCCCCCAGCCCUGCUCACCUGGGCCGGCCAGCAGCCCCUGCAGGUGUGAAUGCCUCGAAGCCCCGGCUCCCCGCGCCACUCAGAGGGUGCCCAGGGGCCCUUGGUCCCGGCUACCACUCGCGGCAGGCAUCGGCCAGCCCAGGAGUCAGAAAUGGCCACCAAGGGUUUGUGACUCCGACAGAAAAAGCAGAGACUUCCCUCAUCUGCAGGACCUCCAGCUAUGCUCAGAGGGAAGACAGACAGCACUCUUCCUAGGAAAUGCCACAUUUCACAUGCAAAGCUCGCAACCUAGAAAUGUCAAAAGACUCUUACCAUCCACUAUUACUGCACCUUCGGCAGUGACUGACAUCUCCAGUUCCCCAACUACAAAUAUUCUGUUCUGUCAAUACUUUUCUCCUGAAUUCACUACGAACGUGGAGUUAAAAUGAGCAAUUGGAUUUUAAAACACACCACCCCUCUGUUUAUUUAAAUGGGCAGGUCUGCUUAAAGUUGGAUGCCCUGCAGAAACAGCUACUGUGGAGGGUUGGGGCGGAGGAGAAUUAAAAAAAAAAAAAAAGAGGAAGAAGAAAGAAAGAAAGAAAGAAAAAGAAAAAUGGUAAAUAUCUUAUUGAAAAAUAAUAAUAUGCUAUUUUUUAGAGAAGGAUAAGCUGCAAAAAGUAAGCAAAUGCACACAAUGACAUCUGUAAUGAAAAUUUAAAAUUUCUUAGGUCUACAAAAAAAGGGAUUAAAAUACUUUCAAUAUUGUAAAUUACUCACAGGCUUUUCAACUAGGCAAGAACUCUCAACCGACCAAGUUUUGUGACAUGUUAAGAGUAUCUGAUUUUUAAUUGCAAUAGGGUGCUUCAGUGCUGAACAAAGUAAAUUGCAGUGGGAACAAAAAAGGGAACAUACGACAGAAAUUGCCAUGUGCUUUUUUGUAUUGAAAUAUUAGUAAGGGUGAAAAUUAUGCAUAUGUUGGAAGAAAAUAAAAAGGGUUGUCCAUUGUGAUAACAUAUUCAUAGCAUAGUUGCAAUUUAGUACAUACAAAAAUACUUAAUCCAGAAUGGUUAUAGACAGAGAAUUCACAGGUACAUUAUCACUUUAUGAGCUGAAUAUUAGUAUAUCUAUUUUAUAUAGGCAACUUUAUUUUUACAGUUAAAUUAAAUAUUUCUCUUUAACCCUUUAAAACUAAAAUAUAUGGUGCGCGAGGUGCAUCUUAGAUUCAUCUGUCUCACUUGGUUAUCUAAAAUAUUACUGGAGUCUCAGAGUGUAGCAGAGUAUAUUGGCACUGGUAAAUUUAAAUCCCUCUUAGAAAAAAAUCUCAUAACAUGAACGAUAUUGACACAUUACUGUUAUUACCAUAAAAUAUGUCGAUGGUGUAAUAGUCCCAUUGAAAGUAUUAAUGUAUUUAUCUGUGCAGAUAAUACAGGCUUUACAUUCUUUAUUGCAAGCAUAGAUUACAGUUGUGAAAAAAAAACCACCAUCUUCGAUUCAGUACUUUAUAAAACUUGUGUUCCAUGAACUGUCUUCCUGGGAAUCAUUUUUUUCCCCUCUGUCAUGUUACACAUGUAAUAAAGUUGUCACACUUGUAUUCAUUAUCAAACUUCUUACACUUUGAAAGGAUGUCUAAAUUUACAUAUUCAGCUUUAACAGUAUUCUGCAAUUUUUCAGUUUUAGUAAACAAAAUGUCACACACAUAUGCGAUUCUGUAUUUCCUUUGUCUAGAAAUAUGUAUUCCCAUACAGAGAUACAUUUAAGCAUUCUGUGAUAUAUAUACACAGGCAUUUCACAUUUGACAAAAAUGACAGAAUACAUAUAAAGAUUCUUAGAAGAUUUGAAUGGGCUACCACCCCACUCCCAAAUACAUGCUGUGAACAACGCACACCAUUAUGAAACUUGCAGAAGUGGAAGUUCAAGUGAACUCCACUAACACCAGCUGCAGUGGUGCAUUUUCGGCUGUGGAGCUCAAAAGCAGAUGUAGCAGCAAGGCCGCAGUUUGGAAUACCACCGUCUCGAUUGAACCAUUUAUGUUUGUAUGGAAAGAAGAGACCUUUGCAUUCUGUUACCUUGGCAUUAGAUAUCGUGUAAAAUAUUUUUAAAAAGAGAGUGUCAUUUCGGUAUUGCCAGCAAACCAGGAAUUUAUGGCAAAAAAUAUUUCUUUGUAAUUUCUCAUUUUACUUUGUAAAAGAUUAAUCAGCAUCCAUUGGGAUUAAAUGUAUGCCAUAAUUUAAUAUGCAUUAUUUUAAUGAAGCUUAUUGCAACCUGACAAAGCUUCUACAAACACUCUUAUAAGCAAAAUAUUUACUUGGGUUUUUACUAUGCUAUCUACGCUAAUAAAGUGCAAUACAAAUGAUAACACUGGCAUCACCAAAAAAAUUAAAGGAGAAAAUUACGAAAAACUGCUUCCAGACUUUCCUAGUGAGCUAUUUUUUGAGUUGUUUCAAAACACUUCCUUUCCAAAACACUGAAAAUUCUCAGGGGUUAUCAGUGACUAAUCCAUGGAAAUUUUAAGUUACAAACUUAACCAUUUUUUGCCAGGGCAUAAAUACGUGUUACUGGAGAUUUUAGGUGGAUGAUAAAAGCAUUGAGAUCUUAAAAGGUCAGCUCUUGAUUUUAUAUUCCCAGAACACAUUAUUAACAGAAACAUCAUGCAAUCAACUUUUCUUGGUGCAUCAAAAAAAUUCAAGAAAACUGUACAGUGUUUUUUUCUAGUGCAAACAAGCAACUUAAUAAGAAAAUCAUGGAAGAAAAAAAAAUAGACAGACACCUUUUGUCUCCUGGCAACAAGACAGUGAGACUCUCCCUGACUCAAUUAGAAAUACAUCUGCUUUUCAAAAACUUUUAAAGCCAAAUACCAAAAUCAAAGUUGUCAUCCAAAGCCUAAAUAGCUUCCAUCAUUUAGCUGUAAGAACAGGAAACAAUUCCCCCUCCACCCAAUACCUGUUUUAAAAAAAUGUCAUACUUCAUUCUCUUCUGUAUGUGCAUACAUGUAUGUGUGCUGUGUGUAACAUGGUAGACCUACUCAUGAGAUAUGUAUGUAUUUGUAUAUGUGCUUGUAUAGUCUCGUGUUACAAUGGGCCAGUAAGUGUAAAGACUAUUAGAGUAAGACUGUUCUGUUUAUAUGAUAUUGCUCAGUAUAAAUCACACUAAUUUAAUAAUACAGCCUAAAGGUUACUAAUAAAGGGUUAAAUUUGAAUUUUAACAGGAAAAUGGUGGGAGACAUGGUUUAGGACUAAUUGUUUUUUUCUAGUUACACAAAUAAACGAGGCAUUUAGAGAAUGUCAAAAUAUCUAAAAUGUAGCAUAAGAACUAUACAAAAAAAGUUGGUACUAUAUCCGCACUAAUUUUAUCCCUUCAACAUUACCAUAACAGCUCACCCCACUACAUUCAGGGAACAUGUACAACCAACUAACUGUUCUGUAACUACCUGAAUUUAAGACCUCAAUCCCUUAAUAGACCUGAAACAAUUAGGGAAACUGUCAUAAAGAUCAGGUAUUUCAUCGACUAAUGCACUGCAUACACAAACCAGAAUUUUGUUCCAGCACUCAGCUGGCAGUGCUGUGAGCUUUCAGCACAGAGGGUAGAGCAAAACAGAUACUUGAGAUUCAUUGUGGGGAUUUGCAAAACACAAUUUUGCUUUAAUACUGUACUUACACACAUGCUCAGAUAGCAAAUGGCUAUCCCAUUCAUACAGAGGAAAAUUUUUAUAGGAAUAUCAGAUUUACUGUAUUAGUGUUCACCUUUUACUGGCCAGCAAGUGGCCAAAACCUUAACCAGGGUAAGAAAUUUAAUCCAUUGGAAAAGACCAUUUUGUGCUGGAACUACUGUAUUAUUCUAGCUUUUGUCUUUGCAUUUCCCUAGCAGGGAACGCCAUUUUGAGGCUGUCAUACAUUUUUCUGUCCAAAGCGGAUAAUGCCUGUGGAAAGCGUAAGGAUGGUAUUCUCGUACUGCAGAAAAAUGUAACACAGCAGUAUCACAGGGAAGAAGCAUUUUUAUUUUUACAGGUGCAACUGAAGUCUCUUUUAUUUUCUGUUCACCCCAAUAUUAAUUUUAAACCCCACAUACAUAACUGUAUGAUACGUAGCUAUCUAUACAUGCAGCAUUUUGAAACUUUAACAUAAUAUACUUUAACAUAUAUAUUUUUAAUUCUAGUACUUAAAGGAAAGAGGUAGAAGAAGAGACUUUACCUAAAGACAAGACGGGCAAAUAAGCAUUUACUUCAAAUGAAUUUUACUAAGUUACAAUGGGCCUAAAUAUGUUAUCUGAUAGUCCAGUAUUUAGAAAAAGGUAAAAAAAAAAAAAAAAAAAAAAAAAAAGUAAAGAGCAGACUCAGGAAUUGCUACAAUACAUCUGAAGCCUGACCAAACUCAUGUUCUACUAGACAAUUUUUUAAUUUUUAAUUUUUCUUUCCUUAGAAAUAUAGCAAAUCAUUGUCCAAAGGAUCAAAAAAUAAUAAAAAAUCAAUGGGUAAUAGAAAUGGCUUAAUAUUAAAGGCAGAACAGACAGGUGUACAACAGUUGCUUACAGAGGAUACUGUUUAAUACGAAUAGUUUUUACUUAGUUUUCACUGCAGGGGUCACAUUUGGAAACAAUUUUGAUAAAGUAAGUUUAGAAAAAAUAAUGUAGGAGUUCACAUCUCUAAUUUCAGUAACGUUUUUGUCUAGGAAAUAAGAAAGGUCUUGAAAAGACAAAGAUACUGUUAAGCUUUAUAAGGUAGAGAAGGAGGGAAAAGAUAACUUUACCACAAAUAUCUUGAGAGUUUUUACUCAGGUGUAUCCAAAGCAGAAAAACUCCAAAAAGCUCCACUCAUUAAGAAGCUUUUGGAAGAAGCACUUUUACUACCACAUCUUAGUGUAUUAUCAUACAUAUGUUGAGAUAUUUAAUGCACUCAGAAAAAAAUUUGCUUUCUUUUCAAGCAGGCACAUAUGAUAUUUAUUCUAGGGUUCCAAUAUAUUUUGAGGAAAAAAAAAAAGUGUUUUAAAAUUUGAAUACUGGUGAAAUGUUUUCUUUAUUUUCAUUUUACUCUAAGCAGCUGUCCACAUUAAAAUUCUCCUACAAAUCUUCAACUCCAUACUAAACACAAUCCCACCAGUGCUUUAAGGCAAAACAAACAAAUGAACAACAACAACAACAAACACACAAAAAACAACCCCAUAACAAAAAUAAAUGCAACUGACACUGCCUUGACACUUUCUUUAGUCUUUAAAAUCCUGCAGAUAACAGAAAAGCAACACCACUACUGAAGAACACAUGGUGAGAGCAGGUGGACCUUGUAUUUUCAUUAGUAAACACAUUAAUUUUAACUAAUGAACAUAAGUGAAGAAUAUACGCAUGCUAACCUGACAAUAUUAUUUUUAUUGGACAAUGGGUACAGUAAGCAUAGCUUUCCCCUCUAGCUUCCAUUAAAAUCUAAAGCUGUGAGUCUCGGGGAAUUUCAAGUAACGAAUAAAGGAAACAGAAGGGUUGGUUUCAGUAUUGCUGUAUUCAGCGUCACUUGCUACUUACAUACUAACUCUGUGCUGUUCACAUUUGGCUCAGCUUUGAAUGUAAGUUUUCAUUAAAAGGGAAUGAUAUUUGAGUUGCUUGGCCACUUUUUUGUUUACAUAGCUUAUUUUGCUGUAUUUCAGAAUAAAUGUAAGAGCAGACAAUUGGAAGUGUUUGCUAAAAUAACAAAACUUCAAGAAAAGUAAGGGAAAUAUGUUACCAUUUUACUUGAAAUGACUGGAAUGCCAAGAAAAUGAUUAAAACGAGGAGAGAGAAAGAAUGACAGAAAGAGAAAAAAAUGUCUCAUACAAGAGGGAGUUACACUACUCUGUAUUGGGCAAAUCCAUAUUGCAGCACAUAAUCUGAAGGAGGAGCAAAAAGAAAAAAAGAAGGCUUGGAAGUCUGCAACAGUUAAAGACAGCGGUGUGCUCCCUUCUCCAGAGAGGAGCAUGGUAGAGAAGGUAGAUCUGCACAGCAAACACAGCAGCACUACCGCAGGUUCUCUGUUCAGCCCUGCCCUGUGAAGAGCCAGUGGAGCGGGAUGCUCUGGGCAAGGCAGCGGUGCUGUGGACAUCCAACGUGGCUAAAGCCUCCUGCUCCACCAACAUGGUAUGUGUCCAAAACUAUAGAGAAGAGGCAGACGAAGAAGCAUCUAUUGCGUGCCUUCCCGCUUGUUGCUCAAGUAGCCUAAAAAGAGUCAGGAGAAACACAACUGCAGACACCACAGCAGCUAGUAUCAGCAGCAACAUCCCCAAAGCCAGCAAUAUCAGGUAAACCCAUCCUGCAGUGCGUUAUGCCAACACGGCAGCCUGUCAGGGAUUUACAGCAACAUAAAAAGAAAAAAGGCCAGUAAGCCCUGAAAUGCCUGAGUCUAAGAGGUAACACAUACUAUAAUGCACAUUUUUACUGUGAUGGUAUGUUUAGAUAGAGUUGUGUCCACAGUUGUACGAGCAUCAAAGCUUAUUACUGUAGUAUUACUUAUUUUUGUGACGGCAACAUUUUAAUUUCACCCCAUGCACACACAUCCCUUUCGUGCUCAGUGCUAACCCUGCUAGGCUUUAGACAACUUGCCUGUCAUCAGCAAUUAAGGGCUUUUUUUUUUUUUUUGAUAAAAGAAAGGAAUGUGGAAAAGAAGUAUUUCAACUGAAGGUGUAUCUGAAGAUAUAUGUGCAGGUUAUUUUUAUGAUCUAUCCUUUUAUUUCACAGAUAUUACUGCUGAAGAAGAAAAGCAUAUAGAGGUGAAAAAUAAAUAUCUUCCAGUGAAAGAACAAUAUUGUUAAAUUUGGGAUAGAUCAACAGAAGCAUCUCCUGGAGCAGCUGCAUUAAUGCUGUGUUGGUAACACACAGGAGCCAACAUGGACAGUUAGCACACUGGACUGUCACCUUCCCAUUCUCACCUCUAAUGCUCUGGCCUGUUGGACUAUCCCAGAUUUCUGCUUUGUGUCUUGGCUUCCUCAUCUGUGGUGAUACCGCUCACCAGGAUGCGGUUGUUGCCAUCAGUUACUCAGCCAGGAUGGGAGAAAGAAGACAUGGAAGGGAGUGGUUUAGACUAAGGUAUUUUCCCCUUGACUGUCACAGAGAAACACUUCUGAUGAAGCUAAACAUUGCUAAAGUCUCCAGAAGAAACUUACUCCAGGAGUAAGGCCAGGCAUGGGGAUAUGCUGGUCAAAGUCUUUAGAGCAGGGAGCUCAGCACCACAGACAGACCCCACAGGGGCCAAAUGCAGGUGGAAUGAGCACUACAUUACCCACCGUGCCAGCAGAUUCUGCAAGGAGGCCCAGGAAUGCCAGGCUCCAAAACAAGGUCCUGCAGCAGAACAAUACAAGACUUAUCUACAUGAACUAUAUGAGACAGGAGUAAGGGUGUCCUUCAGUUCUCAGAUACUUUGUGCAAAAGAGCUAUUUUUGAAUCCACCACAACACAUGCAGCUUUCUAGUCUCUAGCAACAUGAAUUAACGCAUGAAGCGUCUCAUUCCAGAUGUAGCAAGCUGGGGUCUCAUUAUAUCCAGCCUGCAUGUACACUCUGCCCCUUCCACUCUCUUACUAGCCCUGCAUCCUCAAGAACCGGGCAGGAUGAAGAAGGAAGAUUCUUUGCACUCCUCCUCAGGAUAUUUGAGAAGUAACUUCUCCUGUUUGCAGGCUUCUUCAUAGCAGGAACCCAUGCAUUUCAAAUUGUUUUAUAAGGAUCUGAAGAGAGAAAUGAAAUCAAGAAUCCAAUAAAAAUAACAUUACAUUUGCUUUAUCGUAUUUUCUGUUCAUGAAAACUUGCCACCACUGUUCCUCACUCCUGCUGUUUCUGGUCUUUCCUUACCCCAGUAGAAAGAGAGUGAAAAUUACUGUCAUCAAGAAAACUGAAAGGAAAAAGCCUUUGUAGCAUGCAUGUCACACUGGAACGCACAAGGCUCACCAAUGAGACAGAUGGCUCACAACUAAUUCCAAAGUGGCCAAACAUAAAAGGAAAAACUUCCAGACCAUGUGUUUGCAUCAAGACUGGUGACAUUCCCACCGCAGGUGGGUUAAAGACUGGCACUCCUAUACAUUUUCUUACCUCUCCACUUCUGUGUCUGGAAUCUCUGUAUCUAUUCAUGCAAUUUCCAGUGACUGCUGUUCCCCAAAAUCUAGUAUAAAAUUACUAGAUUUAUAUUGGGCUUUUUAUUACACCAGGGGUCAAAGAAAAAACAGUGGAGUCAGAAAACCUUGACAGACAAGUUUAGAAAAGUCAGUGUCCGUAGCAAAACAAGCACCUCAAGAAAAACAAAAGUAUACAACGGGUAUUUAAAAUAAACUACUUGGAAAUCCACUACCAUAUUGUCAUGUUGUAUGUUUAUCAGAUCUUCCCAUUGACUUACACGGAAACACUCUGCUUUUAUGCAUGAAAGAUUAUACAGGCAUAGCAUAUCAGUCAGAAAUAAAGGCUAACAAAAUCUCUAAACACAGAAGUAGUAGGUGAAUAAGGGCAAACUGUACCGAGAAAAGCUCUGUAAUAGGCUGAGACAAAGAGGUACCUUUUCCCAAAACCAAACAGCACUGAACUGAAACUAGUAGGACAAAGAAUAUACUUAGAAAGUGAUAUUUCAAAUCGAGAUUAGGAGGAUAAGGACUGAACCAAAGAAUCAAAGACAUAAGGACAACUUGUUGACAUAUAUUAGAAGCAGGAAGACUGCACAACAAUUGUCUGGUAGGUUUGAAAUAGUACUGGGAAACAAAGGGAACGAAUAAAGAGGAGGAAAAACACUGCAGAAGAGAUAAUAGCUGAUUAUGACCCUGAGAUGUUUAGUCAUGCAAGAGAGUAAACUCACCUUUUCUCACUCUGUAUGACCAUGUUAGCAUUUCUUGAUAGCUGGGUUCUUGAUCAAGAGUAUUAGAAAAAAAAGAAAAAAAAAAACUCUAUAACCACCAAUUCUCCCAAGGAAACUCAAGACUAUACCUCCUUCAGCCUGUAUGUCCUUCAUUUUCCACUUCUUUCUCCUUCACACCAGCUAACAGCACUAUCUAUAUCCAAAAAGGGAAGUAAAACUACACUCUAAGAAGUUAUGGAAUAAGAUGUUCCUUCUCUAGGACAGGAAGAGAGUUGGAGGAAAUGUGACUCAGUGAUGUGGAGUUCUUGCACAGUCCACUUUUUCUGGGUGGAGCAAUCGACCCUACCUCUCUCAAUGCCCAGAAAUCCAGGCAGACCCAGAGGCAGCCUUUAAUUUAGAAAGUUGUCAGGCCUAACAUAGGAGGAAACAGUUAAAAAAAAAAAAAAAGUGAUAUUAAAGUGAUCAUAUUUUCUGAACCCUCUAGACCACAAAUCCCAUUAAUCUGUUCUUCUGCAAGUAAAGGCUGAGAGGCAGCUGAUAAAAUAGAAAGUGCUGAAAUAACUGGAUAAACUAAAAGACGAGACAUUCUGAGGAGUAACAUACACAUGAAGGAACUCUGAGGCAGCUCAAGGUUGAGGCCAGCAUUUCCAAAAAAAUUCACUCUCCUAUCUGGAAUGAAAGGGUAGCACUCCUUAAAAAUAGUCACAAAUAAUGGUCCAGAUUACAUGCCAAUGAAUUCUAGUAUUUAGUAAAAUGGCUGGAAGGCUACUUUAAAAUAUUAUAACCUGAAUGUCUAAACCGAGAUUACCUAAUGGAGAGAAAAACAACAUUGCUAACAUAAUGAAAAAUGUCUUUUUAAAAUUGGAGUGGAUCCGCAGAAGAAAUUAUUAUUUAUUUGGCCUUUCAAAAGGGCUUUGAUAACAUGACUUGUAUAGACCUUAAAGAAAACAGAGUAAUCAUAAGCGAAAGUUAGACUCAUGAUUAAAAAUGAGCCAAGCAGUCAAAAGCAAGAUGUGGGAAUAAAAAGACAUUUUAGAAGGAAAAAGUUAACAGUUGUUGCAUGCAGAAGCCACACUUGCAUCAGCUUUUAACAUCUAUUUAGAGGCCUGGAAAAAUCAGCUGUAAAACAUAGUGGCAAAAUUGACACGGAGCGUAUUUGGGUUACUGAAGAGGUUUAAGAAAGUUGAGCAAAUGCAAAACACUAUGAUAAAUAUGUAUUUUAUAAUUACUAAGCAAGUCAUAUUGCAACAUUCUUGACAAAGGGGAAAGACCUGGGUGCCAUCAAAACAAGUUAGCAAAAGCUUUCAUGUACAUGCAGCACUGUCAAAAAAAUAAAAUAAAAAGAAAAAGAAAUUUACAAUGCAUGCAAAAAAGCUCAGAAAACUAAACUGAAAAUACCACCUUUCCAGUAUAUAUGUGCCAGGAAAAUACCUUCAAGGAGAACACUGUCUACAGUUCUUUUUAGCUUACCUCAUUAAAGCUACAUAACUAACAGGAGUGUAAGGGCGAGUGACAAAAAUGAUUUGUCUCUCAAGAAGACAGCCAUAAAACAAGAGGAGGUGACUAAACUGUUAUCAAGCAUGCAAGCAACUGGGAACACAGAGAUGCGCACUUUCGAAGCCAGAACUGUACACUGACUUUUUUUAAACCUAUUUCCCGUCUUGGACAGGAGACCAUUCAAGGAAAUGAAACAAGCAGCAAGUUUAAACUACAGGUCUAUAUGAUCUUACAAAGUGCAGGCUGAGCAUGUGGAAAUCAGUGCCAUGGUACAUUAUGAAGGGACAUUGGUGUGACUUUGAAAGAAUACAGUUCUAUGUAUAGCCUUCAAAAAUAUAGCGUUCAACGGGACUGUUUGCUGGAAAGACACUUGUGCAAAGCCAUAACAAAGCCAUUGGCCAAGGUAUCCAGCUGGCAUGCUUUCUGACAAGGACAGGGUAUUCCAGAAGGAUCAGAUGUUGGUCCUUUUUGCCUUGCAUUCUCUUACCAACAACCCCCUAUAAGAACUGUCAGGGUAGACUUAGCAUUAAUUAGACUGUGAAUCUGAUCCAAUGCAGUAACUUCUACAUUUAAAUGUUUUGUAUGCCCAAAAGCAGUAACAACAACAACAAAAAAUCUCAAGAAAUACACCGUAAUAAAAAUGAAAUAAUUAAUCCUCUAAGAUAGCUACUGUGCCUGAUGCAAUUCUACAAAUGUAUUGCCCAAACUUCACAAAAAUACUUAAAAAGUACAUAUGUUGAGUUAGCCACCUGCUUUUCCUCUCUCUCAAUAAUUAGCAAGAACUUAAAUUAUAAAAUACUGUUUUACCAUACAAAUGUGCUUCCUUGUUUAUUUUAUUAUCUUUUUUUCCCCAUGCACACAUCAUUACAUGCAAAUAAACAUUUAGUAAUUAUUCCAAGAUGUGUGUCAGGUGCUGGCAUAUUGCCACUUGUACGGUGGUUUGCUACACUUAGCCUUCAGUCUUGUGGCUAACAAUUCACCAUAAAUGUGAUACUUCACCACAACCCACAUGCUGCUGGUCUUCAAAGGAAAACAAGGAUAUAUAAUUAAGAGAUGAUGAGCUCAAACAUAAGACAUGAGAUGACGGAACAGAUUCUGUAACCACACCUGAGUGGUUAUACUACCAAAGAAGUUUCUGCAGCACCACCUUCACUCAUAGUAUCAGUAAGUCACACAUUUUCAAAAUACUUGAAUAACAUUUGAUGCAGCAGAGGAAGAAGUAGAGUGGUAAUACCACACCACUGCAGAAAAAUAACUCUAACAUCUAUUACAUAAAAUUAAGAAUGUAAGUAAGCAUUAUUAACAAAUGGCCCUUGUACACAGCAUGACCCAAGUCUUAAAACAUAUACUAUUACUAGAAAUACUGUCGACAAAUCUCAUCCCUCAAGAUUUUUUUGCUUUAAAAUAUUCUCUAAAUCUCAUUCCAACCUUUCAUGAUCAUGUAGUUUCAGUACUAAUAUAAAAAACCACAGAGGAAACUAUCUGUGCAUAUACGUGCCAGUUUAGGGGCUAAUGCUGCAGCAUUGUGCAUGGAAAUAAAAAUUAAGAACUAGCUACAGAUCCACUUUAGAGUCUACAAGAUCAGUCCCUUGGUGGAUAUUUGCAAUAAACAAAACAUCAAACCAUUUUCCUUAUUGGCCUGAAAAUGUUGGAAUUAUUUUUUGGGGGGUUUGCCGUGAUUAGUGAAAGAGUCGAGAAAUCUGGGGCAAAAUGAAACACAAAUAAAGCUGCUGAACUCGAGUAAGAGCCGACCAUCCUUUAUAAAUAUGCAUUAAUAUAGGAUUAAUGAAUAAGGAUUAAGAAAUAACAGGAUUACAUGCUUACUUGGUUUCUCAUUAAAAAAAAAA